rnacentral:rRNA from 1 species
GCUUAGUCGUAAACAAAAACAGUGCAAACACGACACUGUUCGCCAGAGAACUACAAGCAAAAACUCAAAACUCUAAGGACUUGGCGGUGUCCCAUAUCAACCUAGAGGAGCCUGUCCUAUAAUCGAUACCCCCCGAUCCACCCAACCCCCCCUCGAAACUCAGCCUAUAUACCGCCGUCGCCAGCCUACCCCAUGAGGGAGUUAAAGUAAGCAAAACAGCCACAGGCUAGAACGUCAGGUCAAGGUGUAGCACAUGGGAGGGAAGAGAUGGGCUACACUCUCUUACUUAGAGGACACGAACAGCACAAUGAAACCAUGCUAAAAGGCGGAUUUAAUAGUAAGACAGACAAGAAAGUCUAUCUUAAACAAGCCCUGGGACGCGCACAC